rnacentral:rRNA from 1 species
AACGAACGCUGGCGGCAGGCCUAACACAUGCAAGUCGAGCGCCCCGCAAGGGGAGCGGCGGACGGGUGAGUAACGCGUGGGAACGUACCCUUUGCUACGGAAUAGCCUCGGGAAACUGGGAGUAAUACCGUAUGUGCCCUUCGGGGGAAAGAUUUAUCGGCAAAGGAUCGGCCCGCGUUGGAUUAGGUAGUUGGUGGGGUAAUGGCCUACCAAGCCGACGAUCCAUAGCUGGUUUGAGGAGGAUGAUCAGCCACACGUGGGACUGAGACACGGCCCAGACUCCGUACGGGAGGCAGCAGUGGGGAAUCUUAGACAAUGGGCGCAAGCCUGAUCUAGCCAUGCCGCGUGAGCGAUGAAGGCCUUAGGGUUGUAAAGCUCUUUCAGUGGGGAAGAUAAUGACUGUACCCACAGAAGAAGCCCCGGACUAACUCCGUGCCAGCAGCCG